rnacentral:lncRNA from 1 species
UCAUGUGGUCUCACAAGGUUCCAGGAUUUUAUAAACUUAAGAAGCUAGUACAAAAAACACAACUAAUCAAAACACUAAAUUGGAUAGGCUGAUAGGCAAGAGUUCCCACAUAGUAUAUCAAGCAAACAGCACAGAUAGGUCCUUUAAUAAGUUUCCAGGAUAGUAUUAAAGAAACUACGAACACCACAACUAGUGAAGGCUGGACCAAACAAAAAAAAAAAUGGGAUAAGCCGAUAGGCAAGAGCAACUCGUCAAUGGAACAAACCAAGUGGGAAGCAUCUUCGACACUACACUAAGAAUGGAUCAACUAAAUCCAAAUCACGAACAUGACCCAGGGAAUAACGGACACAAUUAUGAAUUGUAAAAUGAAUCUGAGCCCCUUUUGAAGCCCUUUCAUCCAGCUGAAGCUUCCUACGUUGUUCUGCCAAGAAUUCCUUAUUGCCGGAGCAACCCCCAAGCUUCACCAGCUCUAGCACUCUCGCAUUCAAUACAAAGAAUGUCACAAAGUUAACUUCAGACUUGAUGCCACGAUAGGAAUCCAACGCUAUUGUCUUCAGACGGAUAUCAGGACAUCUGGUCAGAUCCCGGUGUUUGCAACGCCACAAAUUGUUUGGCUUUGGCUCUCGCACACGAAACUAAAAAUAACAUACAGAAAUAAGUAAACCAAUCAUUUGAGAAGAGAAGAAGAACAAAAGUGUUUGAACAUUCAAUGAAUGAAGAAUCAUCACCCCAGUCUGAAUGUACAGCUUCUCCAAGCAUGGAAAGCAUGUCAUCAGCUCAAUAACCAUAUCCAAACUUAGUACUCUCAGUUGGACAGCUAAAGUCUUGGCUGUGCGGACCACCAUUGCCAGCUUAUCAACGUGCGAUCCCUUUGGCAAAC